ACACAUAUGGUUCUCCUUCUUUUCCAGGUAUACUAGAAGGUUGCACUUUAUUUCCUCUGGAAGUUAAGCAGACCAUGUAAAUCCUGUACAGACAAAUGCUGAGAGAUUUUUGUCACCACCAGGCCUGCCUUACAAGAGCUCCUGAAGGAAGCGCUAAACAUAAUAACAAAUAUCAUGAUUGCAUGUAAAAAUUGUAUUACUGAGAAAUAUGAGAUCUAGAUUC
rnacentral:lncRNA from 1 species